ACGAGUUGCGUUCGAGGUCGCUUGCUGGCCUCCCUUUGCGGGGGGGCAUGUGCACGCCUCGCAUCCACUUCAACCACAACCGUGCACUUCAGAGUGACCGCGAGGUCGCUCUUUCACACAAACCACACUUACAAAGUAAUGUCGGAACGUAAACAUGAUGAAAAUAAAUACAACUUUCAACAACGGAUCUCUUGGCUCUCGCAUCGAUGAAGAACGCAGCGAAAUGCGAUAAGUAAUGUGAAUUGCAGAAUUCAGUGAAUCAUCGAAUCUUUGAACGCACCUUGCGCUCCUUGGUAUUCCGAGGAGCAUGCCUGUUUGAGUGUCGUGUAAUCAUCAAUCCCGCAUGAUUUGUUUCUUGCGAGGAUUGGACUUGGGAGCUUGCUGUGCCUCUCUAGAGGUUCGGCUCUCCUUGAAUGCAUUAGCUCGGUCACGUAGUUGCCCGACGGUUCACGGUGUGAUAGUCUAACUUCAUCGCCGUUCUGACCGUUCGGUGCCUGUGCUUUGCCGGCUUCUAACCCCCAUCGUCUUUGACGAAAACCUUUGAAACUUGACCUCAAAUCAGGUAGGACUACCCGCUGAACUUAAGCAUAUCAAAACCCGGGAGGAAA
rnacentral:rRNA from 1 species